UUGACCUCAAAUCAGGUAGGACUACCCGCUGAACUUAAGCAUAUCAAUAAGCGGAGGAAAAGAAACUAACAAGGAUUCCCCUAGUAACUGCGAGUGAAGCGGGAAAAGCUCAAAUUUAGAAUCUGGCAGUCUUUGGCUGUCCGAGUUGUAAUCUAGAGAAGUGUUAUCCGUGCUGGACCAUGUAUAAGUCUCCUGGAAUGGAGUGUCAUAGAGGGUGAGAAUCCCGUCUUUGACAUGGACUCCCAGUGCAUUGUGAUGCGCUCUCAAAGAGUCGAGUUGUUUGGGAAUGCAGCUCUAARUGGGUGGUAAAUUCCAUCUAAAGCUAAAUAUUGGMGAGAGACCGAUAGCGAACAAGUACCGUGAGGGAAAGAUGAAAAGAACUUUGGAAAGAGAGUUAAACAGUACGUGAAAUUGUUGAAAGGGAAACGCUUGAAGUCAGUCAUGUUGGCUGGGGAUCAGCCCUGCUCUUUUGCUGGGUGUAUUUCCCAGUUGACAGGUCAGCAUCAAUUUUGACCACUGGARGAAAGGUUGAGGGAAUGUGGCAUCUCUGUGAUGUGUUAUAGCCCUCAGUUGUAUACRGUGGUUAGGAUUGAGGAACUCASCACGCCGCAGGGACGGGUUAUUGCCCAAKUUCGUGCUUAGGAUGCUGGCAUAAUGGCUUUAAUCGACCCGUCUUGAAACACGGACCAAGGAGUCUAACAUGCCUGCAAGUGUUUGGKUGGAAAACCCGAGCGCGUAAUGAAAGUGAAAGUUGAGAUCCCUGUCAUGGGGAGCAUCGACSCCCGGCCCAGAAUUUUUGGGASGGWUYUGCGUAAGAGCAUGUAUGUUGGGACCCGAAAGAUGGUGAACUA
rnacentral:rRNA from 1 species